rnacentral:rRNA from 1 species
UAUUUUAAAGAGAGUUUGAUCCUGGCUCAGGACGAACGCUGGCGGCGUGCCUAAUACAUGCAAGUCGAACGAACGGAGGAAGAGCUUGCUCUUCCAAAGUUAGUGGCGGACGGGGGAGUAACACGUGGGCAACCUGCCUGUAAGUUGGGGAUAACUCCGGGAAACCGGGGCUAAUACCGAAUGAUAGAAUGUGGCGCAUGCCACGCUUUUGAAAGAUGGUUUCGGCUAUCGCUUACAGAUGGGCCCGCGGUGCAUUAGCUAGUUGGUAGGGGAAUGGCCUACCAAGGCAACGAUGCAUAGCCGACCUGAGAGGGUG